rnacentral:rRNA from 1 species
GAAUGCUGGCGGCGUGCCUAAUACAUGCAAGUCGAGCGGUAACAGGGAUUCACCGUGUUCUUGACGCACUGGCCAUUGAGCAAGUAGCUGAUUCGAGAGCACAGUGAAGUCUGCUGACGAGCGGCGGACGGCUGAGUAACGCGUGGGAACGGACCCCAAACUGAGGGAUAACUAGUCGAAAGAUUAGCUAAUACCGCAUAUGAUCUUCGGAUUAAAGGAUUUAUCCGGUUUGGGACUGGCCUGCGUACGAUUAGAUAGUUGGUAGGGUAACGGCCUACCAAGUCGACGAUCGUUAGAUGGUUUGAGAAGAUGAUCAUCCAGACUGGGACUGAGACACGGCCCAGACUCCUACGGGAGGCAGCAGUAGGGAAUCUUUCACAAUGGGCGAAAGCCUGAAUGGAGCAACGCCGCGUGCAGGAUGACGGCCUUCGGGUUGUAAACUGCUUUUAUAAGCGAGAAAUAUGAUGGUAACUUAUGAAUAAGGACCGGCUAACUACGUGCCAGCCGCCGC